AUAUUUAUGUUUAUCAUGAAGUGUACUACUGCUUGAGUGCAGUAAAUCUAUGGGAAACAUCCAUAUGUAAAGUUACAGACAAGGCUAGCAGCAGCAGCGCCGCGUCAGACACGUUUCUGGUGUGCAAAGACAAAACACCACGAAGCUGACACAUGCCGGUUUUCUCUGUAAAACAGGCGUCGUUUCGGUUCUAUUACCUUAUAGUAUUUAACAGUGACAUUGUUGAACUGAUUCGUUGAGCUAAACGUUUUCUUGUUUUCUAUUUUUACAGAUCCUGUGGUUAGGAUGCUGUGGAAGUGAUUCUUCGAAAGCUUUAUGGUGGACAGAUUCUGCAGGUUCUGUAGGGCGACGAGAGGCGAGAUGCAAGGCAAGGAGAUGACUGCAAACCAGAAGAUGACCUUGAGGGUCAUUCUAACAGAGGCGGAUAUAGUCAUCCUAACCACAAGGCCCUCUACAGUCGAAGAUUUGAUAAGCAAGCUUAAAGAAUCACUGGGACUUCAUUAUAACUUCAGUCUCCAAUACCAAGACCCUGAAUUCAAUAAUGAACUAUGCAAUCUGACAGAUACUGAAGAACUUCCAGAAAAACCAACAGUUAAAGUCAUGCCUGUCUCAUCUGAUGAAGUCUUCAGUGACACACCCAGUACAGCAGAUACAGACAUACUCUCACACUCAUCUCAGGAGUGACAGAAACAGUGGCCAGAAUUUUUUGAUAUCCCUACCAUGUCUGUGGAUGUAGAGUAUAGACUUAGGCAAGCAGAUCUGCUGUUUGAGUGAGGGUACAUACCUUAAAGUAUCAAAAGAACUAAAACACGAGAUACUUGAAAGAUUGGCAGAGAGCAUGUAUAGCUACACAGCAUACCCAACUGCUGCUCAGUUCGAAAGUGUUGCAGCAGCACUGACAAACAAGCACCCUUGUCUCCAGGAGCGAGGCUCAACCACUCGCUGUUGUGGUUGGAAAAAUAGCCUUAAGCAUAAAAUGGGUAAUUAUCGAACAAAGCGUAGGCAAUCAGGAUGCCUUGAUGUUUCAGUAAAUGCAGGUAAGCGGGGAAGGCAUUCAGCAGGACAACCAGCUAACAAGCGCAUCAAGAAGGCAAACAAAGGUGAAAUCAACUACUUGCCCAGGAUGGAUUUGAUCAGGCAGCACUGGAGGGGGCCUGUAAAGACUUGGUUGAUGAAAUGCAGAAGAGAACACCAAAUGGACCUCUUGUGAAACAGAAGAUGGAUCAGACCUUUUCUCUGAGAAGAAAAGAGGUAGUGGAGUCGGAACCCGCUAUAAACACAAUGGUGAAACGCUGGCCUGCCCUUUUCACUGAAGAUCAAGUGUUCAUGGAGUUCAGCAGGAUUUUGGGCAAGAACCUCAAACAGGAGUUCUAUGAGAGCAUCGACCGGCACAGUCCUCGUCUCCUCGAGUUAUUUCAAUCCAAGAGAGGGAAUGUUGGACAGUUGUUGACACAGAUUUCACAACAGACCAAUCUUUCUUAUAGAUCAUUAUUAUCCGGACACAAGUGCUCAGAGGGCUUCCUAUUAUCCUUGGGGACAACCCCACAAACUUCUUCAAAGCAGGCUUUGAAUCUGAUGAUGAUUAUUUUCGUGAUCUUGACGUUGGGAAGCUUCUUAUUGAGCGUGAAGGUGCUGUGCUCACGUCUUCCCAGCAUCUCAGUCCAGCUUUGUUGAAAAUCGUCAUUGAGGGAGAAGUUGUAAUGGAGAACAUUCAAGAUCUGCCAAAAGCAAUGUGCAUUCUGUUUGGACUCAUGUAUGCACUCCAUCUUAACUACCCCAAGACCAUGAAGCUCACAUUUCAGUUCAUCCAACAGGUAUUGCUAUUGUUAGGCCAGACUGACCUAAAGCCAAAGCUACAGAGUUUGAAAAAUCAGCUCGCAAUGUAAAAAGAGAGGUCAAGUCUACUGUAAGAGGCAGUUGACUACAUUUUUCUUUUUGCCACACUAGUAAAAUACUUUCUUACCUGUGGGGUAAACCUUUUAUUUUCUGUAAAACAAGCGGACGAACAGACACACGUAAAACGCAGACACACACGUACAACACCCACACACAAACACUGACACACACUUAAAUGCUGUAGGAAUCAUGCUGAAGGAUGUGACUUGUGUGAAAAUUAAAACUGAGAGGACUUGUAGCAGAAAGACAUAGGCCUAAGACAUUAUUGUUCUAGUUCAACACACACGGACAACACCCAGACACACGGCAACACCCACACACACUGCAA